rnacentral:misc_RNA from 1 species
AACGCAACUUGCGCCCUUUGGUAUUCCGAAGGGCACGCCUGUUUGAGUGUCAUGAAUAUCUCAAGGUCAUCUCAAUAUAUUAUGAUUGGGGUUGUCUCUUGGAUUUGGAGGGCUUUUUGCAGGUUUCACAGUCAAUGUGAUCUGCUCCUCUUCAAUGUAUCAGCAAGGCUCUUGUGAUAUGAAGUCUCCUUUGGUGUUGUAGUUUCAUCUACGCCGUGGGAGGCUUGUCACCUUUGUGUCCACCUCGUUCUUGAGGUGUGAGGGAGCUGUGCUUCAAAUGGUCCAUGAUGGGAUGGACAAACUUGAUUCAAUCAUUUGACCUCAGAUCAGGUGGGACUACCCGCUGAACUUAA